UAAUAACAUAGAAAUUUUCUGUAAACAUAGCGAAUUGUAAAUAUAUCCCUAUAAAGUUCAACUUUCUUAUUUUAUCCCUACAAAAGGCCUAAAGUUUUCAAAUAUUUCUCUGCCGUUAGGAUUCGAUAGAAAAAUUUAGUUAUCUAUAGGUUAAAUACUUAACCCUAGUUAGUUAAUAAGGUAACUUGAUAUUUUUAUACCUCUUAUAUAUACCUUCUUCUCUCAACCAAAACCCUAGCGAUGGGAUUUUUUUCUCUUCCUUUAUACUAGUUUUGAAUCCAUAACUAGAAUUUCUCCAUCUCCAUUCAACCAUGACGCGUGUUGUUUCGCCUAUAUAAAUCGCGUAUUACUUUUUCAUUCAAUUUUUUCUACGACUUCUUUUUUAUUUUGCUCAAAAGAAAAGGUUAAGGAAAAAAGGAGCGAGAAAAGAGGUUGCACGAUUAUAACUGUUGGGUCUUUUGGAGGAAUAUAUUUGUGAUGACAAAAUUGACAUUUCACUAUUAAAAAAUAAAUAAUUCUUUAACGGUAAUAAAUCAGAGAGACAAAUAUAAAUAUCACUGAAUUUUUACAGGAAUAACAUGAAAAAAUAAACUUUGUAAGGAUAUAUUUGCAAUUCGCUAUAUUUACAGAAAGCUGUAUGCAAUUAACCCUUAAUUUUGUAUUAACAUUUAAUUAUUUUUUUUAUAGUCAAUAUUUUUUCAUUCCAACCGAACAGUGAAGAUAGGAAUCAAUUAUUCCGAUUCCAAUUAUUAUUCUAAACAAAACAUAGAAAUAUUUUACAAUUCUAUUUCUGAUUCCAAUCCAUUCCGAUUUUGAAUUCUAUUUUGAAUCAAACGUUAGGCCAGAUGAAAAUACUCCGAACCAAACGGGUCCACAACACUUUCACUUAAAAGCACUAUAAAAUCCGCGCUAGGGCUAAACACUAUCUUUCUUAUUCCAUCUUACCUAACCAAACGCUAUUUUUUUUAUUCUCAGGAAUAAUCCAAUUUUCAUCCAAACGCAAAAUUGAUUUAAUCCCCGCUCAUACCUCAAUUUAUACCUAUCCCUUGAAUAGCUACUUUUUUCUUAUCCUCGAACCAAAAAAUACCUAUAUGGUUAAAACCGCAUCACCGGACCACAUUGAUCUAAUUCGAUCAAUAAGAUUCAAUUUAAUCAAUUUUUGUUUACUAAAAAGUUGAAUUAUGUGUUAUCUUUUAAAAUAUUCUGAAAAAUAAAAUAAAAUAAAAUAUUCUACUUGAUCUAACAAAAUAUUUGUUAUUAUUUCCUCUCAACUCUUUUAAUAUAAAUUAAUUUUAAAUAUAAAUAUUUUUCGAACAAAU
rnacentral:lncRNA from 1 species